GACGAACGCUGGCGGCGUGCUUAACACAUGCAAGUCGAACGGAGAAUAGAAGGAAGCUUGCGAAUUCUAUUCUUAGUGGCGGACGGGUGAGUAACGCGUGGGUAACCAACCCAUAAUACCGGGACAACCCUGGGAAACUGGGGCUAAUACCGGAUACGUUCUUCUUGGGGCAUCCUGGGGAGAAGAAAGGUGGCCUCUGAAUAUGCUGCCGAUUAUGGACGGACCCGCGUCUGAUUAGCUAGUUGGUGGGGUAACGGCCUACCAAGGCGACGAUCAGUAGCCGGCCUGAGAGGGUGGUCGGCCACACUGGGACUGAGACACGGCCCAGACUCCUACGGGAGGCAGCAGUGGGGAAUAUUGCGCAAUGGGCGAAAGCCUGACGCAGCAACGCCGCGUGAGUGAGGAAGGCCUCGGGUUGUAAAGCUCUGUCUUCAGGGACGGAUAAUAGACGGUACCGUGAGGAGGAAGACCACGGCUAACUACGUGCCAGCAGCCGCGGUAAACAUAACUCGUA
rnacentral:rRNA from 1 species